GACGAACGCUGGCGGCGUGCUUAACACAUGCAAGUCGAACGGAAAGGCCCUGCUUUGGUGGGGUGCUCGAGUGGCGAACGGGUGAGUAACAAGUGAGUUACCUGCCCUUGACUUUUGGAUAACUUCAGGAAACUGGGGCUAAUACCGGAUAGGUGCUCCUGCUCCAGUGUGUGGGUAAGAAAGUUUCGGCGGUGGGGUAGAGACUCGCGGCUUAUCAGCUUGUGUGUGGGGUUGUCGCUUACCAAGGUUGUGACGGGUCGCCGGCCUGAGAGGGUGACGGGACACAGUGGGACUGAGACAGGGCACAGUCUCAUACGGGAGGCAGAAGUGGAAUAUUUCACACAGUGCGCAGGAGUGAGGCAGCGACGCCCCGCGCGCGGUAUGACGGCUUGCGUGGUGUAAAGCGUUUUAGCCUGAGACGGCGCGUGAGUGACGGUAAUGGGUAAAGAAGCACCGGCUAACUACGUG
rnacentral:rRNA from 1 species